GGCGAUUCUCAGGUGACAUACCCCAGAAUCGAGCUCCCUCUUCUCUGGUUCUGGGUGCGUCACCCAAGAACUGCA
rfam:Myotis lucifugus cont2.290, whole genome shotgun sequence.